rnacentral:rRNA from 1 species
UACGUAGGGUGCAAGCAUUAAUCGGAAUUAUUGGGCGUAAAGGGCGCGUAGGCGGAAGCAUAAGUCAGAUGUGAAAUACCAAAGCUCAACUUUGGUGCUGCAUUUGAAACUAUGUUUCUCAGAGGAUUGACGGAGAAAGCGGAAUUCCACGUGUAGCGGUGAAAUGCGUAGAUAUGUGGAAGAACACCGGUGGCGAAAGCGGCUUUCUAGUUUAUACCUGACGCUGAGGCGCGAGAGCAAGGGGAGCAAACAGG